CUCCUACGGGAGGCAGCAGUGAGGAAUAUUGCUCAAUGGACGAAAGUCUGAAGCAGCAACGCCGCGUGAGGGAUGGAGGUGCUCUGCAUCGUAAACCUCUGUAGAGGGAGACAAACUUCGAGUUACUACUCGAUUGAUGGUACCCUAAGUAAGGAUCGGCUAACUACGUGUCAGCAGCCGCGGUAAUUC
rnacentral:rRNA from 1 species